UACAGAGGUCUCGAGCGUUAGGCGGAAUCACUGGGCUUAAAGCGUGUGUAGGCGGAUCGUUAAGUGCCUUGUGAAAUCCCACGGCUCAACCGUGGAACUGCUUGGCAUACUGGCGGUCUUGAGCAACCUAGGGGCGAGCGGAACAAAUGGUGGAGCGGUGAAAUGCGUAGAUAUCAUUUGGAACGCCAAUGGUGAAAACAGCUCGCUGGGGGUUUGCUGACGCUGAGACACGAAAGCCAGGGGAGCAACGGG
rnacentral:rRNA from 1 species